rfam:Helobdella robusta unplaced genomic scaffold HELROscaffold_2, whole genome shotgun sequence.
GUCGGUUAUGGAGACAUGUAUCCAAAAACGAUAUGGGGCAAGUUGGUGGGAAGUGUCUGUUGCAUCUGCGGUGUGCUUGUUAUCGCCUUGCCAAUUCCGAUCAUCGUUAACAAC